rnacentral:antisense_RNA from 1 species
CGUUAUGGUGGCUGUGCGUGGGAGAUCUUCGGAUCUGCCGGGAUUUUGCUCCGAUAACCACCGGUCUUGCACACCUGCGUACAGCUGCCACUCUA